GGGGGGGGAGGGUAUGGUAUAAUAAAUCAAAUUGUCAUCACUGUUGGGUUUCUCGUCUGAAUAUUUUACAUUAACUGUGUCAGAUGCCUCAUUACAGGCUGAACCUUUUAUAGGGUGCUCAUUAUAAAGUUUUAGUUUUUGGUCAUUGUUGAAGGGUGUGCAGUGACCUAUUAUAUAGUGACUAACAAGUAAAUCACUUGGUCUACAUGGUUUAAAUGGUUGAUAGUCGUCUCACCAUAUCUCCUUAGGCCAAAAUAAAAAUUGUUUGUUUCCCCUCCCCACACCCAGGUAAAAAAUAAGCCCCCUGGGAUGGGAAACAGACAUUCUUUUAAAU
rnacentral:lncRNA from 1 species